GACGAAGGGGGCUAGCGUUGUUCGGAAUUACUGGGCGUAAAGCGAGUGUAGGUGGUUGUCCAAGUUGGAUGUGAAAGCCUUGAGCUCAACUCAAGAAAUGCAUUCAGGACUGGGCGGCUAGAGGACCGGAGAGGAUAGUGGAAUUCCCAGUGUAGUGGUGAAAUACGUAGAGAUUGGGAAGAACACCAGUGGCGAAGGCGGCUAUCUGGACGGUUUCUGACACUAAGACUCGAAAGCGUGGGGGAGCAAACAGG
rnacentral:rRNA from 1 species